UUUGCAGUGUUGUCAUUUCAAAUUAUAUUAAUAUCAAUACAGUUGGUGUAUCAGCUGCGUAAAGCAGUACCCUGCGAGUUACCCAUAUUUCGUGUAUUCCGAAACGUCGUUCACGGUGUCUGCAGGAAAUUCCAGUCUGUGCUAACGCGUCAAAGAUUGAAACAAAAAGGAGCAGCCACUUUCGUAAUCCCAUAAUCUAGUUAUUACAAUGUUAUUUUUAAAUCGUUCAAUCGCUCAAUCGCUCGCGUCUGCCCUUGCCACCAAGUGGCAUGCUCAACAUUGUUCCGUCCUUUCUUUUUCUUCCUGGCAGCGCAGCUUUUGUUCCCUGACGUUCUAACACAACAGUCAAACAGCCGAGUACAGAUAUGGCCAACGUGAAAAAGGAUCCUGGUACCUGUCAGAGAGAAUUAAUGAUGUCGACUUUUGUGUACAGUAUUUGAGACAAUUUUUUCUGUACUUAUUACAGACGCAAAGGUCACCACUGACACUAAAAUGGAUUGAGAAAUCAGUCGGGCUUUAGUAACACGCGUGUCAGUACCUUUUUCAUUAUAAACUUAUAAGAAGCUUCGUCACUGCACCUAUCUCUUCGUUUAUAACAUAAUAGUUGUUCAGCAAAAGAUUCCAAUCCUCUUGUUUGGCCCUGCGGCCCUGAAAGCAUCGAGUCAUACGGCUCAGCUAGCAGCAUAAAGUAACAUCUGUGUCCGUCAUUUGUCUCGGGACCCAAAAUUUCAGCUGUCUCUUCCAUGUUCCGAACCUAUCUCAACGAGCAGCUUUCACGUUAAAUCUGGACAGGCUAUACUUCGGAUAGAGGAUUAUAGUCACAAUUUAUUACUCGCAAGCAUACGACACGUGUGCAAGAGAGACAAUCGCAAGUUGAAAUAAAAAAUACAACCGAGCGUUAGUAUGCGAGAUAUAAAUUUAAUAUGAGAUAUCUAGUAGUAAAAGGAGGUACCAAUAAGAUGGCGACAUGAAACGCGGUUGGAGGGAGAGAAAGGGAUGCCCAAUAGACGGUAAUCAUAUUUCAUAAUGUGGCGUUGCGUUGGCGAAAUCGUAAAUGGAAUUAUACAAUGACGGUCAACAUUUUUUUACGGAUUAAUUGGAAAAAACUAAUAUUGCAACGAAUCUAAAUACUAGGUCACGUGAAAGUCGCCUUCCAAGCAGCCACAUUUAUUCGUGCGACACUUCGCAAGAAGCACUUCCAGAUGACCCUUGCCUCAGUGAGAGAGACCGGGGUACUGACACACUGCGUUCCUGUCUAGGGGACUCCUUUACCUUAAAGGUCAUACAGAGAUGACCCCUUGAAAAGUUACUUUACUUAUGGACGAACUGUGGAUAGAUUUGUAAGGCCCUACUAUAUGCCUAAUUGCUUUGGAGAUAUGUGAAAUGUGAAUGGAACAUUAAAACGGCAAAAAAUUAAAUAAAUAUUAUAAUUAUUUUUCAUUGCAGGAUAGACUGUGGAGUUUUUUGUUCACGAGAAACGAAACAAAGCAAUGUGAGCACAGAGUGCCACAAGAGAUAAUAAAAAUAAUAAAAUUUUUCCGCUUGUUCCAUCAAACACAUUAUACCAAUGAAAAAUAAAUAUAACUAAUAAAAUUGAAGUUGCGAACAUACGCAAAAAAGUAGGUAAGACUGAAAUUGGAAUUUGCCAUACGCUUGGCGGCGCCAGACUUUAUCGUGUCUCUUGGUAUCGUGUUACAGUUUUUCUAAUACACAUUUGCAAACAACAGAAAGAACGCUAAAGGCAGUCUAGGUGAUAUUCGCCUUCCAAAGAUUUCAUGGUAAUUCUGUUUGCAAUACCCAGA